rnacentral:tRNA from 1 species
GCUCCUGUAGUAUAGUGGUUUAAGUAUAUCUCUCUCCUAUAAACUCGCAGGAUUUAUUCUGUGAGGAGCGAAGAGAUGACCCCAGUUCGAAUCUGGGCAGGAGCU